CCUACGGGAGGCAGCAGUGAGGAAUAUUGGUCAAUGGACGAGAGUCUGAACCAGCCAAGUAGCGUGAAGGAUGACUGCCCUAUGGGUUGUAAACUUCUUUUAUAAAGGAAUAAAACGAGGCACGUGUGCCUUUUUGCAUGUACUUUAUGAAUAAGGAUCGGCUAACUCCGUGCCAGCAGCCGCGGUAAUACGGAGGAUCCGAGCGUUAUCCGGAUUUAUUGGGUUUAAAGGGAGCGUAGAUGGGUUGUUAAGUCAGUUGUGAAAGUUUGCGGCUCAACCGUAAAAUUGCAAUUGAUACUGGCAGUCUUGAGUACAGUUGAGGUAGGCGGAAUUCGUGGUGUAGCGGUGAAAUGCUUAGAUAUCACGAAGAACCCCGAUUGCGAAGGCAGCUUACGAAAGUGUUACUGACAUUGAUGCUCGAAAGUGUGGGUAUCAAACAGGAUUAAAUACCCUAGUAGUC
rnacentral:rRNA from 1 species